rnacentral:tRNA from 1 species
GGUUUCGUAGCUCAGUUGGCUAGAGCAUUGGCUGUACUAAAGCCCUAUCCUUGUUGUCAUGGGUUCGAAUCCCACUUAGGCCG